ensembl:lncRNA
GUUGUCAAGAGACUGGAGAUUGGCGAGUAGUGAACUCGGGAGCGGUGCGCGAUGUGCCCGUCUACGGAGCCUGACCAGAAGACCACUUCUUCUGCCCCUCCUGCGGCGCCGUUGUUUUGGGUCGCCGGCUGGGAUCCGAUCCAUUGUCCUGGGUGGUGGACCAAACAGAGGAUCCGCUUCGGGAAAGUCGUAUUCCUGGUCAUAAUGUUGUUCCAGGUUGAGGAGAGGCUGACAGAGUGUUUGACCCUGCUGGGAGGGAACAGCUUGCUGAGGUCCCUGCUCAUCCGUCAUGUCCUGUCUGAGAUCAACCGGCUAGCAGAGCACGUCUUGAUCACCUGCCAGGGGGAGAGCAGUGAGGGGUCUGUCCAGGUUGACGUGUCCCAGUAUGAAAACUCCUCCUACCUGGUCUGACUCCUGGAGUAGCUCCUACAUGGACCUCCAGGGGCCGCAGUGGGGCCAGGACACCAAUGGACGUAGGAGCAGAGGGCCCUGCUGGGCAGCCUGGAACACAGCGUCCUUCUCCUGUCUGACUUCCCCUGUUUAGCCUACAUGUGGAGGAUAGGGGCUCUCCUCGCCCCCUCUGUUCCAGGAACGAGCAUGGCGCCACCACGGCCACACAGGCGUGUAAUUCCACCUCCAGGAUGUUUCCACUUCAAAGGGCUGCAGAAGUUGGUGCAGAUACAGUCAAUUUGACUGACAUGACAGGAUUGAAGAGACAGGACUUAACAAACUGGAGGAGGUGGUGGGAGGUGCGUUAUUCAUUGAGGUUGGCUACCUCUUCAGAAGAAUAAUCUAUAAAUAGUAUGGCACUAAACCAAAGCCUGUCAUUAUUCUUGUUGGGAAAAGUGUGGCAAUUAAACAAUAAGACCCGAGGGGGUGUGGUACAGUAUAUGGCCAAUACACCACGGCUAAGGGCUGUUCUUAAGCACAACUCAACACGGAGUGCCUGGACACAGCCCUUAGCCGUGGGGGUUUGUGAUAUCAGGGCGGCAGGGUAGCUUUCAGCCACUCAGCAUUCAGGGCUCGAACCACAGUUUAUAAUGUGAAAUAGACUAUUGUGGCUGGCAUUAGAAUUACAAUGGAAAGCAUUGCAUUUUUUAUGAGAAUUAUAUAUUUUUUAUUUACAGACUGUGUGAAUGUAGAAUGGAUAUACUGAGUGCUGUAUGAGCAGGAAUAUCUUACUGUAAAGAAGGUAUGUCCGGAAAGUUUUUAGGCAUUUACAUUUUCAUUUGUUGAUUCUAUUAGCAAGAUGUAGUGAAGCAAUUUUACAAAUGGAUUUGAAAAUAAAUAAAAUCCAAAAUGUUCAUAUUCCAGAUUGUAUCCUUGAUUCAAGUCCAUGUAAAUAUUUAGUUACUGGACUUUGAUAUAAGUGUUUAUAGAAAUAUGUACUGAUAUUUAAGACAUGAUUGUAUAGAGAUUGUCAGUGACAUUAGAGUCUGACUUGUUGUAGUGUUCUAUAGAAGGGAUACAGUAAGUCUGACUUGUUGUAGUGUUCUAUAGGAGGGAUACAGUAAGUCUGACUUGUUGUAGUGUUCUAUAGGAGGGAUACAGUAAGUCUGAUUUACUGCCAUGUUCUAUAGCAGCGAUGGCUGUGUCCUAACAGACUGAACAGGUUAUAUUAGUGCUGCAUGACCCUCCCCAGUUUGUUAUCCUCUUCUAAAUAGCUGUGGACGGGAGGUGAGGCAGACUGCCUGUGAUGACUGCCAGCUCUGCUAUGUUUGCCCCGGCUGUAACCCAGU